UAAUUUUUAAUCUUGUCAAAUCUAGUUCUAAAACCUCAGUGAUUCUAAAAUCAUACUAAGUAGUUUGAUUUCUGACUAACAUAUUCAAUUCAACCUAAACCAUCUAUCCGUUCCGCUGACAAUUUGGAGAAGGAUAUAAAUAAGGAGUCUGUUGGGACAAAGAGACGUGGACAAAAUGGAUGAACGGCCGAGGGAUCCCAAUCCUUUAAGUGAUCGAUCAGUUAGCUGCCGAGUUUGUAGUGGGUGAAGAUGACACGCAACACUAACUCGAAGAAAACACAAAAUACGUACAUAAACACACGAAGAGCGUGUUUUUUUAUGUUUUUAGAGACGCUAUAGGUAUAAAUGGAGGAAAUGUAUAGACGGUUCGUAUUUUAGAGGUCACGCGUUAAUUUAGGUUGAUUUUUGGAAAUAUUAAAGGUUAUAUAUAGUUUGUACGAGAACUUACAUUUAAACUUUAGUCUGUUCCACGCCCUUAAAGUUUAUUAAGAUUUGUGCCCUGUUAAUGGCAAAAGCUCCCCCUAUUAACGAGACCGAAACAGUUGGCGAAGAGUGGGGAUGGAUCUUCGGCUAAAGAGUACACUUCUCCGGGCCUGUUUAUCAAA